rnacentral:rRNA from 1 species
AUUGAACGCUGGCGGCAUGCCUUACACAUGCAAGUCGAACGGUAACAGAUCUUCGGAUGCUGACGAGUGGCGAACGGGUGAGUAAUACAUCGGAACGUGCCAAGUAGUGGGGGAUGACUACUCGAAAGAGUGGCUAAUACCGCAUGAGAUCUACGGAUGAAAGCAGGGGAUUGCAAGACCUUGUGCUACUAGAGCGGCCGAUGGCAGAUUAGGUAGUUGGUGGGAUAAAAGCUUACCAAGCCGACGAUCUGUAGCUGGUCUGAGAGGACGACCAGCCACACUGGGACUGAGACACGGCCCAGACUCCUACGGGAGGCAGCAGUGGGGAAUUUUGGACAAUGGGCGCAAGCCUGAUCCAGCAAUGCCGCGUGCAGGAUGAAGGCCUUCGGGUCGUAAACUGCUUUUGUACGGAACGAAAAGCCCUGGGUUAAUACCCUGGGGUCAUGACGGUACCGUAAGAAUAAGCACCGGCUAACUACGUGCCAGCCGCCGCAGUAACAC